CAGUCGCCGCGGUAAUACGUAGGUGGCAAGCGUUGUCCGGAAUUAUUGGGCGUAAAGGGCUCGCAGGCGGUUUCUUAAGUCUGAUGUGAAAGCCCCCGGCUCAACCGGGGAGGGUCAUUGGAACCUGGGAAACUUGAGUGCGGAAGAGGAGAGUGGAAUUCCACGUGUAGCGGUGAAAUGCGUAGAGAUGUGGAGGAACACCAGUGGCGAAGGCGACUCUCUGGUCUGUAACUGACGCUGAGGAGCGAAAGCGUGGGGAGCGAACAGGAUUAGAUACCCCGUAGUCCCUGUCUCUUAUACA
rnacentral:rRNA from 1 species